rnacentral:rRNA from 1 species
CCCUUAGAUGUUCUGGGCCGCACGCGCGCUACACUGUUUGACGCAGCGAGUCUUAACCUUGACCGAAAGGUUUGGGUAAUCUUCAGCAAAGUCGAACGUGAUGGGGAUCGAUCAUUGCAAUUAUUGAUCGUGAACGAGGAAUUCCUAGUAAGUGCAAGUCAUCAGCUUGCGCUGAUUACGUCCCUGCCCUUUGUACACACCGCCCGUCGCUACUACCGAUUGAAUGGUUUAGUGAGAUCUCUGGAUUGACGCUGGCUAGGGGGCGACCCUUGGCCAGACUGUUGAGAAACUGCUCAAACUUGAUCAUUUAGAGGAAGUAAAAGUCGUAACA